GCUCUAGUAGCUUAGACAUAAAUAGCGCCGGUCUUGUAAUCCGGAGGUCGAGGGUUUAAGUCCCUCCUAGCGCC
rnacentral:tRNA from 5 species